UACGUAGGGGGCUAGCGUUGUCCGGAUUUAUUGGGCGUAAAGAGCGUGUAGGCGGCCAGGUAGGUCUGCUGUGAAAACUCGAGGCUUAACCUCGAGAUGUCGGCGGAAACCAUCUGGCUAGAGUCCGGAAGAGGAGAGUGGAAUUCCAGGUGUAGCGGUGAAAUGCGUAGAUAUCUGGAGGAACACCGGUGGCGAAGGCGGCAUCCUGGACCAACACUGACGCUGAUGAGCGAAAGCCAGGGGAGCAACGGG
rnacentral:rRNA from 1 species